rnacentral:lncRNA from 1 species
CAGAACUUAUAUGAUGAACAUAACCCUUCCUCUUUAAAUUUGCUUAGUGUAGUUGCCAAAACAGCUUAAAAUCCAGAAAAUAAUUUAUAACACAAACCCUUCUCGUUUUAGCCUAUAUAUUGGAAGAAAAAAUCAAAAGGAUCAGAAAAACAAUCACAAGAUAAAAAUUGAGAGAUUUUCAUUUCUUACUUUUGCUGUUUCUAAAAAAAAUAGAAAGAGAGAGUGUUACCACAGAUAAAAAAGAAGAUCUACC